rnacentral:rRNA from 1 species
AACGAACGCUGGCGGCAGGCCUAACACAUGCAAGUCGAGCGGACCUUUCGGGGUCAGCGGCGGACGGGUGAGUAACGCGUGGGAAUAUGCCCUUCUCUACGGAAUAGUCCUGGGAAACUGGGGGUAAUACCGUAUACGCCCUUUGGGGGAAAGAUUUAUCGGGGAAGGAUUAGCCCGCGUUGGAUUAGGUAGUUGGUGGGGUAAUGGCCUACCAAGCCGACGAUCCAUAGCUGGUUUGAGAGGAUGAUCAGCCACACUGGGACUGAGACACGGCCCAGACUCCUACGGGAGGCAGCAGUGGGGAAUAUUGCACAAUGGGCGAAAGCCUGAUGCAGCGACGCCGCGUGAGGGAUGACGGCCUUCGGGUUGUAAACCUCUUUCAGCAGGGAAGAAGCGAAAGUGACGGUACCUGCAGAAGAAGCACCGGCUAACUACGUG